rnacentral:rRNA from 1 species
AGAGUUUCAUCCUGGCUCAGGAUGAACGCUAGCGGUAGGCCUAACACAUGCAAGUCGAACGGUAACAGCGGAGCUUGCUCCGGCUGACGAGUGGCGGACGGGUGCGUAACGCGUAUCCUACCUCUUACAGUGGGAUAGCCCAGAGAAAUUUGGAUUAAUACCGCAUAGUAUAUGGGACCAGCAUUGCUUUGUUCUUAAAGCUUCGGUGGUUAGAGAUAGGCAUGCGGCCCAUUAGUUUGUUGGUGAGGUAACGGCUCACCAAGACUACGAUGGGUAGGGGGUCUGAGAGGAUGAUCCCCCACACUGGUACUGAGACACGGACCAGACUCCUACGGGAGGCAGCAGUGAGGAAUAUUGGACAAUGGGCGAGAGCCUGAUCCAGCCAUGCCGCGUGCAGGAAGACUGCCCUAUGGGUUGUAAACUGCUUUUGUACGGGAAGAAACACCCCCUCGUGAGGGGGCUUGACGGUACUGUAAGAAUAAGGAUCGGCUAACUCCGUGCCAGCAGCCGCGGUAAUACGGAGGAUCCAAGCGUUAUCCGGAAUCAUUGGGUUUAAAGGGUCCGUAGGUGGAUAAUUAAGUCAGAGGUGAAAUCCUGCAGCUCAACUGUAGAAUUGCCUUUGAUACUGGUUAUCUUGAGUUAUUAUGAAGUAGUUAGAAUAUGUAGUGUAGCGGUGAAAUGCAUAGAUAUUACAUAGAAUACCGAUUGCGAAGGCAGCUUACUAAUAAUAUACUGACACUGAUGGACGAAAGCGUGGGUAGCGAACAGGAUUAGAUACCCUGGUAGUCCACGCCGUAAACGAUGGAUACUAGCUGUUGGGCUUCGGCUCAGUGGCUAAGCGAAAGUGAUAAGUAUCCCACCUGGGGAGUACGUUCGCAAGAAUGAAACUCAAAGGAAUUGACGGGGGCCCGCACAAGCGGUGGAGCAUGUGGUUUAAUUCGAUGAUACGCGAGGAACCUUACCAGGGCUUAAAUGUAGAUUGACAGGUUUAGAGAUAGACUUUUCUUCGGACAAUUUACAAGGUGCUGCAUGGUUGUCGUCAGCUCGUGCCGUGAGGUGUCAGGUUAAGUCCUAUAACGAGCGCAACCCCUGUUGUUAGUUGCCAGCGAGUCAUGUCGGGAACUCUAACAAGACUGCCAGUGCAAACUGUGAGGAAGGGGCGGAUGACGUGAAAUCAUCACGGCCCUUACGUCCUGGGCUACACACGUGCUACAAUGGUAGGGACAGAGAGCAGCGACUGGGCGACCAGGAGCGAAUCUACAAACCCUAUCACAGUUCGGAUCGGAGUCUGCAACUGGACUCCGUGAAGCUGGAAUCGCUAGUAAUCGCAUAUCAGCCAUGAUGCGGUGAAUACGUUCCCGGGCCUUGUACACACCGCCCGUCAAGCCAUGGAAGCUGGGAGUGCCUGAAGUCCGUCACCGUAAGGAGCGGCCUAGGGUAAAAUCGGUAACUAGGGCUAAGUCGUAACAAGGUAGCCGUA